GAUCAUUAUCGUAGGGCUUCUGUCCUGUCGAGAUAGCGUCCUUGCCNANUUUUUGGAGUACCUUUCGUUUCCUCAGCAGGCUUGCCUGCUACUGGGGACCCUUUAAACUCUUUGUAAAUACAGCAUCUGUCUGAAUAAACAAACAAAAAAUCAAAACUUUCAACAAUGGAUCUCUUGGUUCUGGCAUCGAUGAAGAACGCAGCAAAAUGCGAUAAGUAGUGUGAAUUGCAGAAUUCAGUGAAUCAUCGAAUCUUUGAACGCACAUUGCGCCCUUUGGUAUUCCUUAGGGCAUGCCUGUUCGAGCGUCAUUUACACCCUCAAGCACAGCUUGGUGUUGGGCGUCUGUCUUUCUUAGACUCGCCUCAAAAAGAUUGGCAGCCACUUCAGCGGCUUUGAGCGCAGCAGAAUUGCGUCCUCUAGCAGCGGAAGGUGGCAUCCAAAAGUUUUUCUUUUAUUUUGACCUCGGAUCAGGUAGGGAUACCCGCUGAACUUAAGCAUAUCAAUAAGCGGAGGAAAAGAAACCAACAGGGAUUGCCCUAGUAACGGCGAGUGAAGCGGCAACAGCUCAAAUUUGAAAUCUGGCUCUCGGGCCCGAGUUGUAAUUUGUAGAGGGUGCUUUGGUGUUGGCUGUGGUCUAAGUUCCUUGGAACAGGACGUCGCAGAGGGUGAGAAUCCCGUAUGUGGCCGCCAGUCUUCGCCGUGUAAAGCCCCUUCGACGAGUCGAGUUGUUUGGGAAUGCAGCUCUAAAUGGGAGGUAAAUUUCUUCUAAAGCUAAAUAUUGGCCAGAGACCGAUAGCGCACAAGUAGAGUGAUCGAAAGAUGAAAAGCACUUUGGAAAGAGAGUCAAAAAGCACGUGAAAUUGUUGAAAGGGAAGCGCUUGCAGCCAGACUUGCUUGUUAAAACUUGCAGGCCAGCAUCAGUCCGGGCGGUUGGAUAAAGGCCUAUUAAACGUACCUCGCUUCGGGGAGGACUUAUAGGGUAGGUGACAUGCAACCAGCCUGGA
rnacentral:rRNA from 1 species